GUAUUAAAUUUUCAACCAAUAAAGGUCGUAACAUUUAAACAUUCUAAUAAACUUGUGUGUGUGUGUGUAAAAAAUAACAUAGACACAGAUUUGUGAAAAUCUGGCCUACAAUAAGUUCACAGGUGAGAUGAAAAGGCGGAGUGCACAUUUGCCCCGAAAGGCCAGCAACAUCCUAAGGAUUUCAAUAAUGAUCCUUCCGCAGGUUCACCUACGGAAA
rnacentral:misc_RNA from 1 species